CCCUACGGGGCGCAGCAGGCGCGAAAACUUUACAAUGCGAGAAAUCGUGAUAAGGGAACCCCGAGUGCCCGUAAAUUCGGGCUGUUAAUCUGUGUAAAAAGCAGGUGGAGAAAGGGCCGGGCAAGACCGGUGCCAGCCGCCGCGGUAAUACCGGCGGCUCGAGUGGUGGCCACUAUUACUGGGCUUAAAGCGUCCGUAGCUGGAUUGUUAAGUCUCUUGGGAAAUCUACCGGCUUAACCGAUAGGCGUUCAAGGGAUACUGGCAAUUUAGGGACCGGGAGAGGUGAGAGGUACUCCAGGGGUAGGAGUGAAAUCCUGUAAUCC
rnacentral:rRNA from 1 species